AUUGAACGCUGGCGGCAGGCCUAACACAUGCAAGUCGAACGAGUGGCGGACGGGUGAGUAAUUUCUGGGAAACUGCCUGAUGGAGGGGGAUAACUACUGGAAACGGUAGAUAAUACCGCAUACCCUCAGAUGUGCACAGAUGGGAUUAGCUUGUGGGUGGGGUAACGGGUCACCAAGGCGACGAUCCCUAGCUGGGCUGAGAGGAUGACCAGCCACACUGGAACUGAGACACGGUCCAGACUCCUACGGGAGGCAGCAGUGGGGAAUAUUGCACAAUGGGCGAAAGCCUGAUGCAGCCAUGCCGCGUGUGUGAAGAAGGCCUUCGGGUUGUAAAGUACUUUCAGCUGGGAGGCGUUACCCGCAGAAGAAGCACCGGCUAACUCCGUGCCAGCAGCCGCGGUAAUAC
rnacentral:rRNA from 1 species